rnacentral:rRNA from 1 species
GAUGAACGCUGGCGGCGUGCCUAAUACAUGCAAGUCGAGCGAACAGACGAGGAGCUUGCUCCUCUGACGUUAGCGGCGGACGGGUGAGUAACACGUGGAUAACCUACCUAUAAGACUGGGAUAACUUCGGGAAACCGGAGCUAAUACCGGAUAAUAUAUUGAACCGCAUGGUUCAAUAGUGAAAGACGGUUUUGCUGUCACUUAUAGAUGGAUCCGCGCCGCAUUAGCUAGUUGGUAAGGUAACGGCUUACCAAGGCAACGAUGCGUAGCCGACCUGAGAGGGUGAUCGGCCACACUGGAACUGAGACACGGUCCAGACUCCUACGGGAGGCAGCAGUAGGGAAUCUGCCGCAAUGGGCGAAAGCCUGACGGAGCAACGCCGCGUGAGUGAUGAAGGUCUUCGGAUCGUAAAACUCUGUUAUUAGGGAAGAACAAAUGUGUAAGUAACUAUGCACGUCUUGACGGUACUAAUCAGAAAGCCACGGCUAACUACGUG